rnacentral:rRNA from 1 species
GCCCAAUUAGCUAGCCCACCCUCAGAAACCAACAAUCACCACUAAUAACCCCAAGGCUACUAGUUAAAAUACAACAAAACAUUUUUCCACCCUAGUAUGAGAGACAGAAAAGGAUGAAGGCGCUAUACAGAAAGUACCGCAAGGGAACGCUGAAAGAGAGCUGAAAAAGACCAGUAAAGGAGAGAAAAGCAGGGAUCAGUCCCCGUACCUUUUGCAUAAUGACUUAGCUAGAACUCGCCAAGCAAAGAGACCUUUAGUUUGUGCCCCCGAAACUGAUGCGAGCUACUCCAAGACAGCCUAAUAAGGGCGAACCCACCUCUGUGGCAAAAGAGGGGAAGAGCUUUGAGUAGCGGUGACAAACCUAUCGAGCACAGUUAUAGCUGGUUGCCUGAGAAACGAAUAGGAGUUCGACCUUUUAAGUCCUUCAACCCACAAGAGCAAGUCCGCCCACUUCAGAACAAAAGGAAUUAAAAGAGCUAUUCAAGGGAGGAACAGCUCUCUUGAAAAAAGACACAACUUUAACGCAGGCUAAAGAUCAUACGACCCCAAAGACUAGUGCCAAGGUGGGCCUAAAAGCAGCCACCCCCUUUAAAAAGCGUUAAAGCUUAAGCACGACCUUACCACAAUACCGAUGAAAACUCUAAAGCCGCACUACCCAUCAGGCCCUCCCCUGCAAACAUGGGAGAGACACUGCUAACAUGAGUAAUAAGAGGGCUAUAGCCCCUCUCCCUGCAGACGUGUACAUCAGAACGAACCCCCACUGAAAAUUAACGCCCCUGAAUAGACGGUACUGGGUGAAAAACGAAAAACUAGAAACUCCCCCAUCCACUAAAGCGUUACCCCAACACAGGACUGCUCGAAGGAAAGACAAAAGGAGGAAGAAGGAACUCGGCAAACACUUUUAGCCUCGCCUGUUUACCAAAAACAUCGCCUCUUGCCCCAAAAGUAUAAGAGGUCCCGCCUGCCCUGUGACAAAAGUUCAACGGCCGCGGUAUUUUGACCGUGCGAAGGUAGCGUAAUCACUUGUCUUUUAAAUGAAGACCUGUAUGAAAGGCAUAACGAGGGCUAAACUGUCUCCUCCCUCCAGUCAAUGAAAUUGAUCUGCCCGUGCAGAAGCGGGCAUACACACAUAAGACGAGAAGACCCUAUGAAGCUUCAGACAUAAAAUGCAGACCACGUUAAUAACCCUACACCACGGGACCAAACCUAAGCGGACCCUGCCCUUUGUCUUUGGUUGGGGCGACCACGGGGGAACACCAAGCCCCCGAGAGGAACGGGGCACCCCACCCCCUCGAAGCAAGGCCUGCAGGCCAAACCACCAGAAAUUCUGACCCCUAGAUCCGGCGCAAGCCGAUCAGCGGACCAAGUUACUCUAGGGAUAACAGCGCAAUCCCCUUCUAGAGCCCACAUCGACAAGGGGGUUUACGACCUCGAUGUUGGAUCGGGGCAUCCUAAUGGUGCAGCCGCUAUUAAGGGUUC